UACGGAGGGUGCAAACGUUGCUCGGAAUCAUUGGGCGUAAAGCGCACGUAGGCGGCUUAGCAAGUCGGAUGUGAAAGCCCUCGGCUCAACCAAGGAAGUGCAUCCGAAACUGCUGAGCUUGAGUACUUAAGAGGAUCGCGGAAUUCCCGGUGUAGCGGUGAAAUGCGCAGAUAUCAGGAGGAACACCGAUGGCGAAGGCAGCACUCUGGGACGUGACUGACGCUGAGACGCGAAAGCGUGGGGAGCAAACAGG
rnacentral:rRNA from 1 species